AUUGAACGCUGGCGGCAGGCCUAACACAUGCAAGUCGAACGAGUGGCGGACGGGUGAGUAAUGUAUGGGGAAAUGCCCGAUGGAGGGGGAUAACUACUGGAAACGGUAGCUAAUACCGCAUACUAUCGGAUGUGCCCAUAUGGGAUUAGCUAGUAGGUGGGGUAACGGCUCACCUAGGCGACGAUCCCUAGCUGGUCUGAGAGGAUGACCAGCCACACUGGAACUGAGACACGGUCCAGACUCCUACGGGAGGCAGCAGUGGGGAAUAUUGCACAAUGGGCGCAAGCCGGAUGCAGCCAUGCGGCGUGUAUGAAGAAGGCCUUCGGGUUGUAAAGUACUUUCAGCGAGGAGGCGUUACUCGCAGAAGAAGCACCGGCUAACUCCGUGCCAGCAGCCGCGGUAAUUC
rnacentral:rRNA from 1 species